UACAGAGGUCUCAAGCGUUGUUCGGAUUCAUUGGGCGUAAAGGGUGCGUAGGUGGCGCCGUAAGUCGGGUGUGAAAUUUCGGAGCUUAACUCCGAAACUGCAUUCGAUACUGCCGUGCUUGAGGACUGGAGAGGAGACUGGAAUUCAUGGUGUAGCAGUGAAAUGCGUAGAGAUCAUGAGGAAGACCAGUGGCGAAGGCGGGUCUCUGGACAGUUCCUGACACUGAGGCACGAAGGCCAGGGGAGCAAACGGG
rnacentral:rRNA from 1 species